UUACCCGGGCUCGAACGGUGCAGGAAUAUGGUAGAGAUAUCAUAGCUAGCAAUAGUCUGUAUCGAGGUGCUGCAUGGUUGUCGUUAGCUCGUGCCGUGAGGUGUCGGCUUAAGUGCCAUAACGAGCGCAACCCUUGUCGUUAGUUACCAUCAAGUAAAGGUUGGGGACUCUAGCGAGACUGCCACCGUAAGGUGUGAGAGGGGGGGAUGACGUCAAAUCAGCACGGCCCUUACGUCCGGGGCGACACACGUGUUACAAUGGUAGGUACAGAGGGGCGCUAUCCAGUGAUGGAGUGCGAAUCUCAAAAACCUAUCUCAGUUCGGAUUGGAGUCUGCAACUCGACUCCAUGAAGUUGGAUUCGCUAGUAAUCGCGCAUCAGCCAUGGCGCGGUGAAUACGUUCCCGGGCCUU
rnacentral:rRNA from 1 species